AUUGAACGCUGGCGGCAUGCCUUACACAUGCAAGUCGAACGGCAGCGGACCUUCGGGUGCCGGCGAGUGGCGAACGGGUGAGUAAUAUAUCGGAACGUACCUUUCAGUGGGGGAUAACGUAGCGAAAGUCACGCUAAUACCGCAUAUUCUGUGAGCAGGAAAGCAGGGGAUCGCAAGACCUUGCGCUGAUUGAGCGGCCGAUAUCAGAUUAGCUAGUUGGUGAGGUAAAGGCUCACCAAGGCGACGAUCUGUAGCGGGUCUGAGAGGAUGAUCCGCCACACUGGAACUGAGACACGGUCCAGACUCCUACGGGAGGCAGCAGUGGGGAAUUUUGGACAAUGGGCGCAAGCCUGAUCCAGCCAUGCCGCGUGAGUGAAGAAGGCC
rnacentral:rRNA from 1 species